rnacentral:rRNA from 1 species
UUUCCUACGGGGGGCAGCAGUAAGGAAUAUUGCGCAAUGGGCGACAGCCUGACGCAGCGACGCCGCGUGGGGGAUGAAGGUCUUCGGAUUGUAAACCCCUUUCGGCAGGGAAGAUGGAACGGGUAACCGUUCGGACGGUACCUGCAGAAGCAGCCACGGCUAACUUCGUGCCAGCAGCCGCGGUAAUACGAAGGUGGCAAGCGUUGUUCGGAUUUACUGGGCGUACAGGGAGCGUAGGCGGUUGGGUAAGCCCUCCGUGAAAUCUCCGGGCCUAACCCGGAAAGUGCGGAGGGGACUGCUCGGCUAGAGGAUGGGAGAGGAGCGCGGAAUUCCCGGUGUAGCGGUGAAAUGCGUAGAGAUCGGGAGGAAGGCCGGUGGCGAAGGCGGCGCUCUGGAACAUUUCUGACGCUGAGGCUCGAAAGCGUGGGGAGCAAACAGGAUUAGAUACCCGUGUAGUCCG